CCUCCCCAUGUUGAACGCCUCCUUCCUGCUCUCUCCUCUCCCACCCCAUGUUCUGUCCCUUCUGAUCCUUAAGAAGGACAUGGGGAGCUUAAGAGGCGGGAACUCUAUCAGGGUUGUGUGGGACGCAGGCCUCAUGCCGGUUCCUGGCUGCCACUUUGGGCCUGGGAGGCGUCCUGCACAUCCCCAGUCUCAACGCUGACCCUUCCCAGAUGACACCUGUGCCUGGCGAGCUCCUGUCCUAAGGCUGCCAUUUCCUCUCUCCCAGCCGCCAGACCACAGACGAUGACCCAGCUUAACUCUGGGGCGUGGGUGCGGUCACCCUUAAGAGGAGCAGUCACCCCCCGGGCAAGGGGGAGUGGGACUGCGUGUCACUGGGUGUCUCUGGGUUUCACUGUCCUGAGUUGAAAGUUAUUGGGUUUCUACUUUUGCCGCCCCCAUUAACUGCGGAACCUGGGUCCCUUCCCCCUGUCACUUUACAAAUUCACGUUUGCCUACUCAGCCCUCACCUUCUAAGCUGAACAGGAGACCCACCCCAGCCCAGCUGCCAACGCGUGGGUUCCCCACUCACAGUCCGAGCCGGGAACCCGCACCCUCGCUGCCUGGCUCCCAUGUGUCUGAUGGACGAGAAGCCCGUCUCCUCUCCUCCUCCGUCGCUCAGCGCCCGUCUCAGACUCCCCCAGCUUCUAGGGUCUGCCAGGGACCGCACCCUGACCAGAGAAAAACGUGUGUAUAAGGCAGUGUUCUCUAUUUUACCCAGUCCUCAGGGACAAGUGUUUGGUCUGUGCAGCCAACGCCAGGAUCCUAAGACGUGCCCGUCACCCUGCGAGUCCCCCCGGCCCGCACCCUGGGUUCCCCGGGUCUGCAUCAAGUGCACACGGGCAUGCCCCUGACCCCAGUCAGUUAAGCCAGCCCUCCUGGGGUGCUCUGGUCCCCAUGAGGCCCCCAUUACAUUCUGAGGGGUCUGCUGCUCAUCUCAACUGGGACCUCGAGCUCAGACCAGCAAAACCGCAGGCUUCCCCAUUCACUGCCUACCGGGUUCACUGCCUUCAGCUGAAAAAGCCCUGGAUUUCUGCCUGCCACCCGAACCGAGGGUGGCAAAGCUGCUGAUCCCCGCAGGGGUGCACAGGGGCAAGAUGCAUCUCCAGGCCACUGCCUGAGGCCACUCCUGCUGGUCUGACCCAGGAGCAGGUCUUCAAGCAUAAAUUGCUUCUUGGGACUUCCUGGUGGUCCAGUGGGUAAGAACCCGUCUUCCAAUGCGAGGGAUGCAGGCUUGACCCCGGUUGGCACAGUAGAACCCUGCAUGCUGCAGAGCAGUGAAGACCCAGCGCAGCCAAAAUAAAAAUGAGA
ensembl:lncRNA